GCCUGUCUAAAAAUAAUUUGUAAAUAUCUACUCUGUGUGUCUAGCUUCAGCACGCUCCUCUCUGUCAGCUUUGUGUUCACACUUGUCAUCUGCCUCUGUUGCUGUUUUUCAUGAAAUCAUCAGCUGUGGACUAGACAAAUGAGGGAAUUCACUGAAUGAUGUGCCUCAUUCUUGCUAUACAUGACCUUUUAAAUGUGACUGUGUUUCAAGAACUUUUUAAUUGGCAAGAAAGGAAAAAAUGGAAUUCAUUCAACACUACUUUGAGGAAGGACAUUCACAUGCCGUGAUUAUGGACAUGCUGUUCAUGUACCAUGGCAUAAAUAUUCACCUGUGCUCUCUAAAUACACACCUCAAGGAUGCAGGUAUGUUUAGAAGAAAAACUAUUCACCAUUAAAUGAUAUAAGGAAUGCAAUAAGAGCAGAGCUGCGUGGACCAGGACUGUUGUUCGGCUACUGGACAAUGUGUUAAGUACUUGUGCAGAAACACAGAUUGUGUGUUAAAUGUUAUGAUGUUAUGCGAUUGCUGCAAGAACUUAACCCACAAGAACAGAACAGAGGACACUUCGUAGGUUUGUUUGAUGCACGUAUCACUCCAUGGGACCAAACUAUCUGUGGCAUGUUGAUGGUUAUGAUAUACUAAAGCCAUUUGGUUUUGGCAUAUCAGGAUGCAUUGCAAGUUUUUCAAAACAUAUCCUCUGGCUUACUUAUGGGUCUACUUACAAUGUCCCUGCUGUUAUUACACACAACUUCAUUACUUGUGUUUAACCCCUUGGUUUCGUACCUAUGAGAAUACAAACAGACUGUGGAAUGGAAAAUGGUACAUUUCCAGCAAUGCAGUGCACUCUCCGUCAUCAUCCUUCAGACUACUAAGCUGGCUUGAAUCAAGAAGUCACAUGUAUAAUACAACAAUGAGCAAUCAACACACUGAAUCUUGAUAGUCCGGUUUCAGAAAAGCAAGGGCUCUGUUUUGGAUAGAACUCGUAAGGGACCUGAAGAAUGAUGGACACUUCAAUGGCAGUAACAAACACCAAUGCCUUUUUCAGUUCUGCUUCCAAAAUGUUCUACAGGCGGAUUUGGAUGAUUGUGUUGAGCUCUGCAAUGUGCCCUGGGGGUGUACCAAAUGAACUGUGUCAUCUACCACACAGGUAUGGAUCAAGAAACUGUGGCAUUGCAGUUGAAGAAGAUGAGUUAAGUGCUUUUCCCGAGACAAGGCUGACAAAGCAGUUAUGUAGUGACAAAAACAUCCAGGAAUAUCUAGAAUUUGCAAUGGAACACAAUCAGUUACGGUGGCCAGAGAAUUGGGAGGAAGCAUUACAACUCUACUUCACAUUGAAGGAAAUAGCAGGCCUCUGAGCACGAGUAUGUAAACAAAAGACAGUAGAAACUACAGAGUACAACCUUGGAAGAACUUAAAUAAUAAACUGUGACAUUGCAAUAAUAAUGUACUGAGAAUACGGAGGAUGUACAGUUGACUUAAAUACAUCCAAAACCUGGAGAAUUUUGGAUUCCAAAAUCCAUGCGAGUCUGAAAAAGACUGAAUGUGUCUAAGAUUGGUAACUUGAGUGUGUUUGUGAAUGUAUUGAUUGUGAAUGUGAAUGUUGUUCUAAACCAUACAGGUUUAGAACAACUUGAGGCUGAAUAAAUUGCAUUUUUGUGUGAACUAUUGCUUUAAAGAUGUCUGAACUUCAUCUUAAACAGAACAUGCGUUUGAUAGACUACAAAUAACAAACCUUCACAAUCGAGAAGGUAGUCUGACCAAAUGAAAACGUACUGGAUUCCUUUAGCCUCUGGUUACUACCUACUGGGCUGAAUUCUGCUUUGAAGAUUUUUUUUUUCAAAUCAGUCACUGUCAGCUUCUUCUCAGUGUGGCAGAGGAGACAAAACACUGGGAUGCUGCUCAAGUGCUGU
ensembl:lncRNA